UAGGUAAGAUUGGAGGAUACUUAGGUGAUCUUCAAUACAUUGAAUAUCAAGUUCUUAGUGGGCCAUUUUGGAAGCAGAACUGGCGAUGUGGGAUGAACCGAACGUUAAGUUAAAGUGCCAAAUAGUACGCUCAUGAGAUACCAUAAAGGUGUUGGUUCAUUUUGACAGCAGGACGGUGGCCAUGGAAGUCGGAACCCCGCUUAAGGAGUGUGUAACAACUCACCUGCCGAAUGAACUAGCCCUGAAAAUGGAUGGCGCUUAAGCGUAUAACUUAUACUUAACCCUUACUUGAAUUAUAAUAGCGAGUAAGGAGUAGGAGGGCGUAAGGUUUCUAUUAUAUUGGCUGUUAAGCAUCUAAGCGUGAGCUUAUGUGGAGCAAACUUUAGUGUAGAUCUUGGUGGUAGUAGC
rnacentral:rRNA from 1 species